GAUGAAGAACGUAGCGAAAUGCGAUACUUGGUGUGAAUUGCAGAAUCCCGUGAACCAUCGAGUCUUUGAACGCAAGUUGCGCCCGAAGCCAUUAGGCCGAGGGCACGCCUGCCUGGGCGUCACACGUCGUUGCCCCCCCAUCUACUCCUUCGGGAUUGCGGGGGGCGGAUGAUGGCCUCUCGUGCGCCUCGUCGCGCGGUUGGCCUAAAUGCCAAGUCCUCGGCGACGCACGCCACGACAAUCGGUGGUUGCGAAACCUCGGUUGCCUGUCGUGUGCGGUCGUCGCGCAUCGAGGGCUCGAAAAAAUUGCCGGGCUUCGGCUCGACUGUCAACGCGACCCCAGGUCAGGCGGGGUUACCCGCUGAAUUUAAGCAUAUCAAUAAGCGGAGGA
rnacentral:misc_RNA from 1 species